GAUCCGGGCUCAGGAUGAACGCUGGCGGCGUGCCUAAUACAUGCAAGUAGAACGCUGAAGGAAGGAGCUUGCUCUUUCCGGAUGAGUUGCGAACGGGUGAGUAACGCGUAGGUAACCUGCCUGGUAGCGGGGGAUAACUAUUGGAAACGAUAGCUAAUACCGCAUAACAGUAGAUGUUGCAUGACAUUUACUUGAAAGGUGCAAAUGCACCACUACCAGAUGGACCUGCGUUGUAUUAG
rnacentral:rRNA from 1 species